rnacentral:rRNA from 1 species
GGAAGAUCGUCCCCAAGAUCUCGAACCAGAUCGUCGGGAUCAAGAACCUGAAGAAGCAGACGGAAGAGGACGAUGACGUGGCAGACGUGUUUAAGAGUAUGGUCUGAGGAGGGAGGUGGGUAGAGAGGGGGAGAGGCAGCAAUAUUCUUACC